UGGGGGAUAUUGCACAAUGGGCGAAAGCCUGAUGCAGCGACGCCGCGUGGGGGAUGAAGGCUUUCGGGUUGUAAACCUCUUUCGCUAUCGAACAAGGCCCGCUUAGGGUGGGUUGAGGGUAGGUGGAGAAGAAGCGCCGGCUAACUACGUGCCAGCAGCCGCGGUAAUACGUAGGGCGCGAGCGUUGUCCUGAAUUAUUGGGCGUAAAGGGCUUGUAGGCGGCUUGUUGCGCCUGCUGUGAAAACGCGGGGCUUAACUUCGCGCGUGCAGUGGGUACGGGCAGGCUUGAGUGUGGUAGGGGUGACUGGAAUUCCAGGUGUAGCGGUGGAAUGCGCAGAUAUCUGGAGGAACACCGAUGGCGAAGGCAGGUCACUGGGCCAUUACUGACGCUGAGGAGCGAAAGCAUGGGUAGCGAACAGG
rnacentral:rRNA from 1 species